rnacentral:rRNA from 1 species
UACAGAGGUCUCAAGCGUUGUUCGGAUUCAUUGGGCGUAAAGGGUGCGUAGGUGGCGCCGUAAGUCGGGUGUGAAAUUUCGGAGCUUAACUCCGAAACUGCAUUCGAUACUGCGGUGCUUGAGGACUGGAGAGGAGACUGGAAUUCAUGGUGUGGCAGUGAAAUGCGUAGAGAUCAUGAGGAAGACCAGUGGCGAAGGCGGGUCUCUGGACAGUUCCUGACACUGAGGCACGAAGGCCAGGGGAGCAAACGGG